AACGAACGCUGGCGGCGUGCCUAACACAUGCAAGUCGAACGAGAAAGGGGCUUCGGCUCCGAGUAAAGUGGCGCACGGGUGAGUAACACGUGGGUAACCUGCCUCUAAGAUUGGGAUAACUCGUCGAAAGAUAAGCUAAUACCGGAUAAGACCACAGUUCCCGCGGGAACAGGGGUCAAAGGUAGCCUCUGCUUGCAAGCUAUCACUUAGAGAUGGGCCUGCGCACCAUUAGCUAGUUGGUAGGGUAACGGCCUACCAAGGCAAAGAUGGUUAGCUGGUCUGAGAGGAUGAUCAGCCACACCGGAACUGAGACACGGUCCAGACUCCUACGGGAGGCAGCAGUGGGGAAUAUUGCGCAAUGGGCGAAAGCUUGACGCAGCAACGCCGCGUGAGUGAUGAAGGCCUUCGGGUCGUAAAGCUCUGUCGGGAGGAACGAAUGCUCCCAAGGUUAACAGCCUCGGGAGGUGACGGUACCUUCAAAGGAAGCACCGGCUAACUCUGUGCCAGCCGCCGCGGUAACAC
rnacentral:rRNA from 1 species